CACGGAGUUAGCCGAUCCUUAUUCUUACGAUACCGUCAAGCUCCUAUACAUAGGAGUGUUUCUUCUCGUACAAAAGCAGUUUACAAUCCAUAGGACCGUCAUCCUGCACGCGGCAUGGCUGGAUCAGGCUUGCGCCCAUUGUCCAAUAUUCCUCACUGCUGCCUCCCGUAGGAGUCUGGUCCGUGUCUCAGUACCAGUGUGGGGGAUCUCCCUCUCAGGACCCCUACCCAUCGUCGCCUUGGUAAGCCGUUACCUUACCAACUAGCUAAUGGGACGCAUGCUCAUCUUUCACCGUUGUGACUUUAAUUAUAACUCGAUGCCGAGUCAUAAUACUAUGAGGUAUUAAUCCAAAUUUCUCUGGGCUAUCCCUCUGUGAAAGGCAGAUUGCAUACGCGUUACGCACCCGUGCGCCGGUCUCUAUCUCCGAAGAAAUAUACCCCUCGACUUGCAUGUGUUAAGCCUGCCGCUAGCGUUCAUCCUGAGCCA
rnacentral:rRNA from 1 species